CGCGGAGUAUAUCAGUUGGAAGAUUUCCCGGCUCAUAACCGGGAGGGCACAGGUUCGACUCCUGUCUCCGCAA
rnacentral:tRNA from 1 species